CGGACGGGUGAGUAAUGUCUGGGAAACUGCCUGAUGGAGGGGGAUAACUACUGGAAACGGUAGCUAAUACCGCAUAACGUCGCAAGACCAAAGAGGGGGACCUUCGGGCCUCUUGCCAUCGGAUGUGCCCAGAUGGGAUUAGCUAGUAGGUGGGGUAACGGCUCACCUAGGCGACGAUCCCUAGCUGGUCUGAGAGGAUGAUCAGCCACACUGGGACUGAGACACGGCCCAGACUCCUACGGGAGGCAGCAUG
rnacentral:rRNA from 1 species